GACGAACGCUGGCGGCGUGCUUAACACAUGCAAGUCGAACGGAAAGGCCCUGCUUUUGUGGGGUGCUCGAGUGGCGAACGGGUGAGUAACACGUGAGUAACCUGCCCUUGACUUUGGGAUAACUUCAGGAAACUGGGGCUAAUACCGGAUAGGAGCUCCUGCUGCAUGGUGGGGGUUGGAAAGUUUCGGCGGUUGGGGAUGGACUCGCGGCUUAUCAGCUUGUUGGUGGGGUAGUGGCUUACCAAGGGUUUGACGGGUAGCCGGCCGGUGAGGGUGACCGGCCACAGUGGGACUGAGAUACGGCCCAGACUCCUACGGGAGGCAGCAGGGGGGAAUAGUGCACAAUGGGCGGAAGCAUGAUGCAGCAACGCCGCGUGCGGGAUGACGGCCUUCGGGUUGUAAACCGCUUUCGUCUGGGACGAAGCGUGAGUGACGGGAAUGGGUAAAGAAGCACCGGCUAACUACG
rnacentral:rRNA from 1 species